rnacentral:rRNA from 1 species
AACGAACGCUGGCGGCAGGCCUAACACAUGCAAGUCGAGCGCAUCAGGGGCAACUCUGGUGAGCGGCGCACGGGUGAGUAACACGUGAGUAAUCUGCCUCAAUGUUAGGGAUAACCGUCCGAAAGGAUGGCUAAUACCUAAUAAGCCCACGCCCCGAUAGGGGAGAGGGAAAAGCGGGGGAUCGCAAGACCUCGCGCAAUGAGAUGAGCUCGCGGCCCAUUAGGUAGUUGGUGAGGUAAUGGCUCACCAAGCCAAAGAUGGGUAGCUAGUCUGAGAGGACGAUCAGCCACACUGGAACUGAGACACGGUCCAGACUCCUACGGGAGGCAGCAGUGGGGAAUCUUGCGCAAUGGACGAAAGUCUGACGCAGCCAUGCCGCGUGAGUGAUGAAGGCCCUCGGGUCGUAAAGCUCUGUCCAAGGGGACGAAAAAGCAGUCGGCGAAUAACCGGCAGCCCUGACGGUACCCUUGAGAAAGCACCGGCUAACUCCG